GCCUGGUAUGAUUCACUGGCACAAUGCCCACCUUUACUCAAGACCCCAUCACUGCUUACCUGGACUAUUGAAAUGGUUUCCAGACUAAUUUCCCCUUUUCCAAUGUCUCACUGCCAGAGUAAUUUGCCUAAACCUCUUAUCUGAUAUAGAAACUUAUUUAUAUUAGCAGAAGAAAAGCCCUCACUGUCUAGCUUGGUGAGACUCUAGGUGAUGGAGGAACUGCAUGAACCUUAAUGAAAAUAGUGCUAUUUACUCCUUUUCUUGGAAUAGUCUUGCCUGAGAUGAGACAUACACAGGGUCACAGAAGAGAGCAAAGAACUUAUAUUUAUGAUUUGGGAGAGAAGGAGCAAGAAAGAGGGACAGCCUGAAUGAAGACAAGAAAAAAUGGGGGCACCGAAAUUCAAGCUGAACAACAGGACAGAAGCGGGGAACCCUCCUUCUGGACUCAAAUCAAAAGGUACGCCCCCUCCCCAAAGCCGGAAUCCGAGAAUACUCAGGGCUAAGGGGAAGGCAGAGCAAAGGUCCCAGGUCCCCUCCCCCACAACCCAGAGGGCUGAGCCCCCAGCAGCAGCAAAACCUCUGAGCGGGCAAAGGUGCUGGUUUGCAGGGUCUACCUUGGGAGCAGCGGGGCGCCGGGCUCGGAGCAUCCAGCUUAGACAGCGGGGAGGAAGCCAGGGAGAAAUGGGGCAGUGGCUGGGUCCCUCCAUCGGCUCCAGUCUCACCCUUGCCUCGGGCACAUCCAGACCAAUCGAGUUGAACCUAAUCCCAUCAGAACUCCUCAGAGUUUAGGGAGGCCAGCAAAGGCACUCGCGGACAGAGGAGAAAUAGCUGGAGAGAACUGGAGAGAGCCUGGGCGGCCCAGCCUUCUAGGAGUCUUCAGAGCCUCAGAGCUUCAUACCACAUACAGCCCAACCCAGUUGAACUCAAUCCAAUCAAAAGCCUCCAGAGGACAGGGAAGCUAACAUUCCUCCCCUAAAGACUGUACCAAGAGAUCUGACAAAGCUCCAAGAGGGGAGACUGACAGCCCCAAAACCAAAAUAAAAUGAGAGGAGCAAGAGCA
rnacentral:lncRNA from 1 species